GAUGAACGCUGGCGGCGUGCCUAAUACAUGCAAGUCGAGCGAACAGACGAGGAGCUUGCUCCUCUGAUGUUAGCGGCGGACGGGUGAGUAACACGUGGAUAACCUACCUAUAAGACUGGGAUAACUUCGGGAAACCGGAGCUAAUACCGGAUAACAUGUUGAACCGCAUGGUUCAACAGUGAAAGACGGUCUUGCUGUCACUUAUAGAUGGAUCCGCGCCGCAUUAGCUAGUUGGUAAGGUAACGGCUUACCAAGGCAACGAUGCGUAGCCGACCUGAGAGGGUGAUCGGCCACACUGGAACUGAGACACGGUCCAGACUCCUACGGGAGGCAGCAGUAGGGAAUCUUCCGCAAUGGGCGAAGGCCUGACGGAGCAACGCCGCGUGAGUGAAGAAGGUCUUCGGAUCGUAAAACUCUGUUAUUAGGGAAGAACAAAUGUGUAAGUAACUAUGCACGUCUUGACGGUACCUAAUCAGAAAGCCACGGCUAACUACGUG
rnacentral:rRNA from 1 species